UAAAGUGGCGCACGGGUGAGUAACGCGUAGAUAACCUGUCUUCGUGUCUGGAAUAAUACACCGAAAGGGGUACUAAUACCGGAUAAUCUUGCUUUUCAUAAGUUUUGCAAGCAAAGGUGGCCUCUGACUUAAGCUACUGCAUGAAGAGGGGUCUGCGUACCAUUAGCUAGUAGGUGGGGUAAAGGCCUACCUAGGCAACGAUGGUUAGCGGGUCUGAGAGGAUGAUCCGCCACACUGGCACUGGAACACGGGCCAGACUCCUACGGGAGGCAGCAGUGAGGAAUAUUGCGCAAUGGGGGCAACCCUGACGCAGCGACGCCGCGUGAGUGAGGAAGGCCUUCGGGUCGUAAAGCUCUGUCAAAGGGAAAGAAGUGUACAAUGGCUAAUACCUGUUGUAUUUGACGGUACCCUUAAAGGAAGCACCGGCUAACUCCGUGCCAGCAGCCGCGGUAAUACGGAGGGUGCAAGCGUUGUUCGGAAUUACUGGGCGUAAAGGGCGCGUAGGCGGUUUGAUAAGUCAGAUGUGAAAGCCCACGGCUUAACUGUGGAAGUGCAUUUGAAACUGUCAGACUUGAGUACCAGAGGGGAAAGUGGAAUUCCCGGUGUAGAGGUGAAAUUCGUAGAUAUCGGGAGGAAUACCGGUGGCGAAGGCGACUUUCUGGCUGGAUACUGACGCUGA
rnacentral:rRNA from 1 species